rnacentral:rRNA from 1 species
CGUAGGGCGCGAGCGUUGUCCGGAUUUAUUGGGCGUAAAGAGCUCGUAGGCGGCUUGUCACGUCGACCGUGAAAACUUGGGGCUCAACCCCAAGCCUGCGGUCGAUACGGGCAGGCUAGAGUUCGGUAGGGGAGACUGGAAUUCCUGGUGUAGCGGUGAAAUGCGCAGAUAUCAGGAGGAACACCGGUGGCGAAGGCGGGUCUCUGGGCCGAUACUGACGCUGAGGAGCGAAAGCGUGGGGAGCGAACAGGAUUAGAUACCCUGGUAGUCCACGCUGUAAACGUUGGGCGCUAGGUGUGGGGGGCCUCUCCGGUUCCCUGUGCCGCAGCUAACGCAUUAAGCGCCCCGCCUGGGGAGUACGGCCGCAAGGCUA